rnacentral:rRNA from 1 species
AUGCAGUCGAGCGGAGAAUGCGAGAUGUUUACAUUGAGUAUUCUUAGCGGCGGACGGGUGAGUAACACGUGGGUAACCUGCCUCAGAGUGGGGGAUAGUCUUUCGAAAGGAAGAUUAAUACCGCAUAAGAUUGUAGCAUCGCAUGGUGCAGCAAGAAAAGGAGCAAUCCGCUCUGAGAUGGACCCGCGGCGCAUUAGCUAGUUGGUGAGGUAACGGCUCACCAAGGCCACGAUGCGUAGCCGACCUGAGAGGGUGAUCGGCCACAUUGGAACUGAGACACGGUCCAGACUCCUACGGGAGGCAGCAGUGGGGAAUAUUGCACAAAGGGCGAAAGCCUGAUGCAGCAACGCCGCGUGAGUGAUGAAGGCUUUCGAGUCGUAAAGCUCUUUGAUCAGGGAUGAUAAUGACAGUACCUGAAAAACAAGCCACGGCUAACUACGUGCCAGCAGCCGCGGUAAUACGUAGGUGGCGAGCGUUGUCCGGAAUUACUGGGCGUAAAGGAUGCGUAGGUGGAUAUUUAAGUGGGAUGUGAAAUCCCCGGGCUCAACCCGGGAACUGCAUUCCAAACUGGAUAUCUAGAGUGCAGGAGAGGAAAGCGGAAUUCCUAGUGUAGCGGUGAAAUGCGUAGAUAUUACGAGGAACACCAGUGGCGAAAGCGGCUUUCUGGACUGUAACUGACACUGAGGCAUGAAAGCGUGGGUAGCAAACAGGAUUAGAUACCCUGGUAGUCCACGCCGUAAACGAUGGGUACUAGGUGUAGGAGGUAUCGACCCCUUCUGUGCCGUCGUUAACACAAUAAGUACCCCGCCUGGGGAGUACGGUCGCAAGACUAAAACUCAAAGGAAUUGACGGGGGCC